GAUGAACGCUAGCGGCAGGCCUAACACAUGCAAGUCGAGGGGUAGAAUUAGCUUGCUAAUUUGAGACCGGCGCACGGGUGCGUAACGCGUAUGCAAUCUACCUUGUACAGGGGGAUAGCCCAGAGAAAUUUGGAUUAAUACCCCAUGGUAUAAUUAAUUUGCAUGAAUUGAUUAUUAAAGUUCCAACGGUACAAGAUGAGCAUGCGUCCCAUUAGCUAGUUGGUGUGGUAACGGCAUACCAAGGCGACGAUGGGUAGGGGUCCUGAGAGGGAGAUCCCCCACACUGGUACUGAGACACGGACCAGACUCCUACGGGAGGCAGCAGUGAGGAAUAUUGGUCAAUGGUCGGAAGACUGAACCAGCCAUGCCGCGUGCAGGAAGAAGCAUCUAUGGUGUGUAAACUGCUUUUGUACGGGAAGAAACACUCCUACGUGUAGGAGCUUGACGGUACCGUAAGAAUAAGGAUCGGCUAACUCCGUGCCAGCAGCCGCGGUAA
rnacentral:rRNA from 1 species